UACGGAGGGGGCUAGCGUUGUUCGGAAUUACUGGGCGUAAAGGGCGCGUAGGCGGUGCGAUAAGUCAGGCGUGAAAGGCCCGGGCUCAACCCGGGGACUGCGCUUGAUACUGUUGCGCUGUGAGUCCGGGAGAGGAUGGCGGAAUUCCCAGUGUAGAGGUGAAAUUCGUAGAUAUUGGGAAGAACACCGGUGGCGAAGGCGGCCAUCUGGACCGGCACUGACGCUCAUGCACGAAAGCGUGGGGAGCAAACAGG
rnacentral:rRNA from 1 species